CGCUUCCAGCCGUCAACUUCCCAACAAGUGGCGCCCGGCCGCGGGGGGCGGGGCGAUGAGAGGAGCGUUGGCAAUAGGCGGAGGCGCCAGAUUGAUAUCGCCAUUCUCCAAUAAAAGCAGGUCUUUAGGUCUGUGUCUACUGGCUUUACAGCACUUCAUGUUGACUCAUAUGGCUGACAGAGUUAAUUUCCUCUCCUUGUGCCAUCUACAUUCACAAGGCAUUGGAUCCUUUCUGGGACAACCACUGGCUAAGUAAAAUAUGGUUUGUCCCAUAGCUGAG